AUGAGGACACCCGUAGCACCAUCUGGCCGUGGGCGUGCCGAGAGCUCCGCUCCUUCCCCAGGGGACCGGUCCCCAGCCUCCACGCUGACUCCAAGGGCUGUCAGCUCGCUCGGCCUCCGGGCAAGAGUGGCGCACAGUGCACAUUGUGACCUGGAGGAACUUGGCGGCCUCUGCCCCGGUGGACGGUUAAGGACGCCCCAGGCAGCGCACCCCGGGAUUUACCUUGACCGCAAGAGCCCGGCCAGGGAGGAGAACGCGAAUCCACGCGCAGCGGUCCAGGGAAGGAGCUCGGGCCUCCGCCGCACCCUGUCCCAGGAAGUGUCUGUCCACCGCUGCCCGGCUCCGCGUACGUCACCAGCCCCUGUCGCCGCCGCUGCUGCUGCUGCUGCUGCUGCUGCUGCGGGUUUAGUCGUCUCGUCGCCGCUCACGGCGGACCACGGCUUCCCACUCACGCAGGCGAACCACCCACCCUCACUCCACGCAGUCGUUAACGGUCGGCCGUUCAAGUUUAAAUCCCGGGGCGAGCCCACGCCCUCGGCCCCGCCCACCAGCUCUCUGAUUGGCUUAGGGGCCAGACGUCCUCCACGCCUACAGAAAGAUUGGUGCUCGUUUUCUUUCGGCCCGCCCCCGCGGGCCCGGAAGCGGGCUAUGGGGCGUGGAGCUGAAGUGGGAACCCGCCGGGCAGUGGCGCGGAAGCCUUGGUCUUGGUUCCCCAGGCGUUGGUUUGGCGGAGAGACAAGGGGCUGGCCCUGCUCCGUGCCCCAGCCGCUCUUGGCCGCAGUCGGCGGCGUCGGAGAGGAACAACAGUACAGACAACAGCAGAAUGAAAACAAGCAACAUUCUCUUGACACUGCCGCUCUCCUGUCAGCUUGCCUGUCAUUCACUCCCUCACUCUCUCUCAAUUGCUUCUGAAUUCUGCCUCCUCUGUAAACUCAGGCUACUUUUGAUAGUCGUCAGUGAUCUCAACAGUCAGCAGCUUCAGUUGUCUUGCUCAGUCCUUAUAAAGUUUCUCCUUUGUUUUCCUGACUGUUCUCGAUCCUGGUGUCACCCAGAGCCGGCUUCCACUCCACCACCUUGACUUGACUCUUCAAAGUGAAUUAUUUUGGAGAAGAGAAACCACUUUGUCAUCAGUUGAGAUCUUCAGUGAUGAGAGAGAAUCACAUGCCUGUGGAUGGGAGGUACUGGGAAGAACACAGCAUUCUGUGAUCAUCAUUGUGUGAUGUUCCUGACUGCAGAUCCAUCACCUGGAUGUAAUCAUGCAGACACUGUGGACUGAUCCACUUUGAGGAACUGUAAAGAUGUUCAGAUAUCAAGACCAUGAAAACAGAAAGAUUGUGAAACUAUUUUGGACUGGAGGGACUGGUUAGAUGUGGUAACUAAGUGUGAUAUUGAGAUUGUGGUUGGAAAUAUUUUAUUAAAGAAAUGUUACUGAAAAUGUGUUGAAUCUUAGCCAGUAGAUGCUUUGACAUCAUAUUAGUCAUAAUCUUGUGAUUGUGAUGAACACCUUGUGGAUAUGGAGGAAAUAUUGUUAUUUUUAGGAAACAUACUGAAGAACUCAGGGCUUGUAAAGAUUGUGUCAUCAAUUACUCUCAAAUAGUCAACAAAAAUAUUCUUUGUGGUAUUAAAGAUGACGAGACUUCAAUAAAACACAUAAGUUUAUAUGA